GAUGAAGAACGCAGCGAAAUGCGAUAAGUAGUGUGAAUUGCAGAAUUCAGUGAAUCAUCGAAUCUUUGAACGCACAUUGCGCCCCUUGGUAUUCCAUGGGGCAUGCCUGUUCGAGCGUCAUUUGUACCUUCAAGCUCUGCUUGGUGUUGGGUGUUUGUCUCGCCUCUGCGUGUAGACUCGCCUCAAAACAAUUGGCAGCCGGCGUAUUGAUUUCGGAGCGCAGUACAUCUCGCGCUUUGCACUCAUAACGACGACGUCCAAAAGUACAUUUUUACACUCUUGACCUCGGAUCAGGUAGGGAUACCCGCUGAACUUAAGCAUAUCAAUAGCGGGA
rnacentral:misc_RNA from 1 species